rnacentral:rRNA from 1 species
GACGAACGCUGGUUGCGUGCUUAACACAUGCAAGUCGAACGGAAAGGCCCUGCUUUUGUGGGGUGCUCGAGUAGCGAACGGGUGAGUAACACGUGAGUAACCUGCCCUUGACUUUGGGAUAACUUCAGGAAACUGGGGCUAAUACCGGAUAGGAGCUCCUGCUGCACGGUGGGGGUUGGAAAGUUUCGGCGGUUGGGGAUGGACUCGCGGCUUAUCAGCUUGUUGGUGGGGUAGUGGCUUACCAAGGCUUUGACGGGUAGCCGGCCUGAGAGGGUGACCGGCCACAUUGGGACUGAGAUACGGCCCAGACUCCUACGGGAGGCAGCAGUGGGGAAUAUUGCACAAUGGGCGGAAGCCUGAUGCAGCAACGCCGCGUGCGGGAUGACGGCCUUCGGGUUGUAAACCGCUUUCGCCUGUGACGAAGCGUGAGUGACGGUAAUGGGUAAAGAAGCACCGGCUAACUACGUGCCAGCAGCCGCGGUGAUACGUAGGGUGCGAGCGUUGUCCGGAUUUAUUGGGCGUAAAGGGCUCGUAGGUGGUUGAUCGCGUCGGAAGUGUAAUCUUGGGGCUUAACCCUGAGCGUGCUUUCGAUACGGGUUGACUUGAGGAAGGUAGGGGAGAAUGGAAUUCCUGGUGGAGCGGUGGAAUGCGCAGAUAUCAGGAGGAACACCAGUGGCGAAGGCGGUUCUCUGGGCCUUUCCUGACGCUGAGGAGCGAAAGCGUGGGGAGCGAACAGGCUUAGAUACCCUGGUAGUCCACGCUGUAAACGGUGGGUACUAGGUGUGGGGUCCAUUCCACGGGUUCCGUGCCGUAGCUAACGCUUUAAGUACCCCGCCUGGGGAGUACGGCCGCAAGGCUAAAACUCAAAGGAAUUGACGGGGCUCCGCACAAGCGGCGGAGCAUGCGGAUUAAUUCGAUGCAACGCGUAGAACCUUACCUGGGUUUGACAUGGAUCGGGAGCGCUCAGAGAUGGGUGUGCCUCUUUUGGGGUCGGUUCACAGGUGGUGCAUGGCUGUCGUCAGCUCGUGUCGUGAGAUGUUGGGUUAAGUCCCGCAACGAGCGCAACCCUUGUUCACUGUUGCCAGCACGUUAUGGUGGGGACUCAGUGGAGACCGCCGGGGUCAACUCGGAGGAAGGUGGGGAUGACGUCAAGUCAUCAUGCCCCUUAUGUCCAGGGCUUCACGCAUGCUACAAUGGCUGGUACAGAGAGUGGCGAGCCUGUGAGGGUGAGCGAAUCUCGGAAAGCCGGUCUCAGUUCGGAUUGGGGUCUGCAACUCGACCUCAUGAAGUCGGAGUCGCUAGUAAUCGCAGAUCAGCAACGCUGCGGUGAAUACGUUCCCGGGGCU